GUUUUGGAGCGAAAAAACAUAAUCUAAAAAACUUUGUCUACGCAAUCAUGUGUUUUAUGAACAGAAAAUUAUGCCGCGAGGGACUUUAAGAUCCUGCUCCGGACACUAAAGGAGAGGCAGUGCUACCCCCUGUGCCCCGCUUCCCCCCGGGCAGCAGGCAGGAGCGGUACCGAAUGUGGCUCAACUGCCACAUGCAGAGAACAGCAGAAAGCAUGAACUUCCGCAUUGUUUGCAUGGAUGGAAUAUUCCGCAGAUCGGAUGGGUCUGUGAGGUCGGAGUUUUUCGAGAGGUAUACAUGGGAGCCAACAGAAAACCAGACCACGUGCACUGGAACCAACAAGGCAUGGAAGCAUUAGUGAGAUUUUUAAAACAAAUUUUGUGAAAAAUAUAUAUGGACACAUAUGAAAUAAAAUAAUUUCUUAAUGUAUUACUGUUAACAAUAAUUGGAAUUGUAAUAGUUUUGCAACGUUACGGCAUUGCGAAAAUAUAAAUUUUGUUAAUUUUGCAUUGUGUUUCUUUACAAUCGUUGGCUUGAAAUUCCAAACACCAUUCAACCGAAAACUCUAUGAUACAAGUGAAAUGUUAUCUAAAAGAUGCCCUAUACAUGGCUUUGUCCUUCUUACCUUUUAUUACACAAGAAAUGCAUACUUUAAAAUUUCAAUUUUCUUAUUAUUUCAGUCAUAUUUUAACGAUAUGGGGUCAUUCCAUGUCAAAUCAACCAAAAAAAAAUACUGUAUUCAACCCGACCUUCUCAGAUUUGUCUGAAUUUUGGUAUGGUGGUAGCCCUAGUAAAUAAUAACAUAGAGCAAUUUUUAUUUUAUUAUUAUCCCUUCCAGUUUUUGAGUUGUACAGUUGCAAAAGUGGUCAAAAUUCAGUUUUUUUUUUGCUCGCAAUCAAAUGAUGAUUUAUUUAUAGGUUGAGUUCUAAUAAAGCUGGAACAGUGAAAAUAAGCUCAUUUUUGAGCUUAUUUGCUGGGCUUUAAUUUGAUAUACAACAUAAAAACAUUUUUAAAAAAAUUCACUUUUCAAAAACUUUAAAAAUUGUAUAUACUGGUACUGGUUUUUGAAAAACUUUACUUUUAAAAUUCUGAAAAUAAUAUAUGUUAAAGAACAACAUACUGACUAUGUGUGCUGAAAGUUUUAUUAUGGGAUGCCAAUGGGAUCAUAUUAAAAUACAAUUUUAUGCAGAAGAGUGGUUAUUUUUAUCAUAGGAAUUCACUGCUUAUUUUGUUCUUAUUCUACUCUCCCUGUAGUUAUAGGGUAAAUAAGAUUAAAGUUUUUUUUACCGCAAAUCAGCUGAGAUUAUCAAGGUUUCUUUGUUUCUCUCCAAUUCUCAAGUUUACCCUCCAAUUCUUGACAUAUCUUUAUAUAUAUAUAUUUCUUGUGUGCGUGUGUAUGUCACUGAACUCCUCCUAGACGGCUGGACCGAUUUUGAUGAAAUUUUUUGUGUGAGUUCACGGGGAUUCGAGGAUGGUUUAGAUUCACAAUUGGAUAUUUUAUCUCGAUUCUGAGCUAAGAAAAAAAUAAAAAAACACGCUUUAAAAGCAAAAAAACUAAGCAAUGUUGAUAAUUAGCCUCCAUGGCAACGGGCUUUUGCAUUGUUGUUGCCUUCUGCGUAAACAUGGGAAAGGUUUUUGUUUUUGGUAACGGCAGUGGCGUGCCCAUGAGGAGGGGUAUGUAUAAUGAGAAGAUACAAAAUGUCCAGCGUAGAAAUACUUACCGCCAUAUGUACAUUUGGGCAGGACAAUGUCUGUCGGGUCCGCUAGAAAGAUAUAUAGAGAUAUAUAUGUAGAAAGAUAUAU